rnacentral:rRNA from 1 species
UACGAAGGGAGCUAGCGUUGUUCGGAAUCACUGGGCGUAAAGCGCACGUAGGCGGAUGUGUCAGUCAGGGGUGAAAUCCCGGAGCUCAACUUCGGAACUGCCCUUGAUACAGCACGUCUUGAGUCCGGAAGAGGUGGGUGGAAUUCCUAGUGUAGAGGUGAAAUUCGUAGAUAUUCGGAAGAACACCAGUGGCGAAGGCGGCUCACUGGACUGGUAUUGACGCUGAGGUGCGAAAGCGUGGGGAGCAAACAGG